GUAGUCUCGCACAGAUGCAUAUCAAUAAGCGGAGGAAAAGAAACUAACAAGGAUUCCCCUUAGUAACGGCGAGUGAAGCGGGAAGAGCUCAAAUUUGAAAUCUUCAAGGGUUUACCUUUACGAAUUGUAGUUUAAAGAAGGUGUUUUCUGCUGAGGUUUUGGUAAAAGUUCUUUGGAAUAGGACAUCAUAGAGGGUGAGAAUCCCGUAUUUGACCAUUACUUUCAACUUUGUGAUACACUUUCAAAGAGUCGGAUUGUUUGGGAAUGCAGUCCAAAAUGGGUGGUAAAUUUCAUCUAAAGCUAAAUAUUGGCGAGAGACCGAUAGCGAACAAGUACCGUGAGGGAAAGAUGAAAAGAACUUUGAAAAGAGAGUUAGACAGUACGUGAAAUUGUCAAAAGGGAAGCGUUUGACACCAGUGUUGUUUUUCUGAAAAUCAAUUAAAGAACUGUUUAUGCUAAGCUGUUUAGACUUUAUCAGCUAUCUGCUUAGUUUUGAGCUUUUCUUUAAUGCACUUUUCAGUUAACAAGUCAACAUCAAUUUCUUUUGCUGUAAAAAAGCUUGAGGAAGGUGGCUUGAGAUUCGUCUUAAGUGUUUAUAGCCUCUUGCCUAUGCAGUCGGAGAGAUUGAGGUCUGCAGCGUAGAUCCUUCGGGGCUAAAUGCAUUUGUGCUAAGUUAUAGCAUUUUAUAGACAACUUGUUGACUAUGAUUUGUCUUGUAGCUUACUCGCUUAUGUUAUUUUACCUACGCUUAGGAUGUUGACAGCAGUAUAGACUGU
rnacentral:rRNA from 1 species